rnacentral:rRNA from 1 species
AAGGGCACCACAAGAACGCGUGGAGCAUGUGGCUUAAUUUGACUCAACGCGGGAAAUCUUACCGGGUCCGGACACACUGAGGAUUGACAGGUUUUAUCCAUUUACCUUUGGGUAUUUGGUGUCAAAAAUGCUAGUCCUUUCAUGAUUAUGUGAUAGGUGGUGCAUGGCCGUUCUUAGUUCGUGGAGUGAUCUGUCUGCUUAAUUGCGUUUCACUACGAAUCUACAUUAAACGUAUGUUUGUGAGAUGAACUGAUCCCUCCUUUGUUGGAGUCGUGCGUCUUUUCAUCGCCAUCACAUCAUACAACGUAGAUUCUGAAAGCAACGAACGUGACCGCAACCUUCUUGUUGCCUUGUAUAACCAUAACAUAUUUGCACUUCUGUGCUUGGUGUAUAAACAGGCCUUAUAUUAAUAAACUAGAGGGACCGCUGUUACUUUCUUAAACCAGAGGAAGGUUGCCGGCAAUAACCAGGUCUUGUAAUGCCCCUUAAAAUGUUCCGGGCUGCACACGGUGCUACAAUGAUUAUUGCAGUGAGCAUCUCAUAUUUAUACAUCACUUGCAUGAGCAUUUUAACCUCCGGGUUAUUAUGUCUCUAUGCGUGAUAAAGCCUGCUUCGAAAGUAAGUGGGUAAUCAAUUAGAAGUAAUGAUUUCCUUUAUAUGCACAUUUAUGUUUGGCACUGGGCCCCAGUGCUAGCUCUUAUGUUGGUACUUGUGUGCGUCUAGUGGACCUCUUUUGGUCUCUAACCAUUCGUGCAAUUGUCAAUUCAUGGUGGGGACAGACCAUUGUUAAUUGUUGGUCUCGGUCUUAACUAGGAAUGCCUUGUACGGGUCUUUGGUUCAACAAACCACCCGGAAUACGUCCCUGCCCUUUGUACACACCGCCCGUCGCUCUUACCGAUGGAUUUCUCUGUGAGUUUGAAGGACUGGCCUUUUGUCGCUAUGGAAAUUCAAACGAUCAGUGUGAUCUAAAGGAAAGAGAAGUCGUAACAAGGCAUCGGUAGGUGAACCUGCAGAAGGAUCA